GACGAACGCUGGCGGCGUGCUUAACACAUGCAAGUCGAACGGAAGGGCCCUGCUUUUGUGGGGUGCUCGAGUGGCGAACGGGUGAGUAACACGUGAGUAACCUGCCCUUGACUUUGGGAUAACUUCAGGAAACUGGGGCUAAUACCGGAUAGGAGCUCCUGCUGCAUGGUGGGGGUUGGAAAGUUUCGGCGGUUGGGGAUGGACUCGCGGCUUAUCAGCUUGUUGGUGGGGUAGUGGCUUACCAAGGCUUUGACGGGUAGCCGGCCUGAGAGGGUGACCGGCCACAUUGGGACUGAGAUACGGCCCAGACUCCUACGGGAGGCAGCAGUGGGGAAUAUUGCACAAUGGGCGGAAGCCUGAUGCAGCAACGCCGCGUGCGGGAUGACGGCCUUCGGGUUGUAAACCGCUUUCGCCUGUGACGAAGCGUGAGUGUCGGUAAUGGGUAAAGAAGCACCGGCUAACUACGUG
rnacentral:rRNA from 1 species